CCAGCGGUGGUGGUGGAUCCGUUGCCGGGAAGAAGCUUGUGGUUCUUAGAAACCCUACUGGAAGAGACAUCGGGAGUUCCUAUGAACUUGGACCGGAACUUGGAAGAGGUGAGUUCGGUAUAACGUAUCUAUGCACGGAGAGAUCCACUGGGGAUGCGUAUGCAUGCAAAUCAAUUUCGAAGAAGAAACUGAGAACUUCUGUGGAUGUUGAAGAUGUGAAGAGGGAAGUUGAGAUCAUGAGACAUUUACCUGUUCAUCCAAAUAUUGUCACUCUUAAGGAUACGUUUGAGGAUCACAAUGAUGUUCAUCUUACAAUGGAACUUUGUGAAGGCGGCGAGCUUUUCGAUCGGAUCGUUGCUAGAGGACACUACACUGAGAGAGCGGCGGCGAUUGUCAUCAAGACCAUCG
rnacentral:lncRNA from 1 species